GGAUGUGAGGGUGAUAUGGCUGCGACAUCUGUCACCCCAUUGAUCACCAGGGUUGAUUCGGCUGAUCUGGCUGGCUAGGUGGGUGUCCCCUUCCUCCCUCACCUCUCCAUGUGCGUCCCUACUGGAGCUGCGCACUUGGUGGAAGAAGACGGCCUUCCCCAAACAGAGCCUUCCCCAAACAGAGACUGACCCGGUCUUCGUCAAGUGUAUACGAGUAGCUGCGCUCCCCUGCUAGAACCUCCAAGCAAGCUCUCAAGGUCCAGAAGUAGUAGGUGUGACUUAGAAAGGAAAAGGCAGAACUUUAGGAAAAUGGAUAUAUAUAUGUUUGUGUGUGUGUGUAUAUAUAU
rnacentral:snRNA from 1 species